AACUUUUGGUAACGGAUCACUUGGCUCUCGCAUCGAUGAAGAACGCAGCGAAAUGCGAUACGUAAUGUGAAUGGCAGAAUUCAGUGAAUCAUCGAAUCUUUGAACGCACCUUGCGCCCCUUGGUAUUCCGAGGGGCACACCCGUUUGAGUGUCGUGACAAUCUCAACCUUCUCGGUUUCUUCUGGACACCGAAGGAGGCUUGGACUUUGGAGGCCUUUGCUGGUGUCUCUCACCAGCUCCUCUCAAAUGAAUGAGCGGGGUCCUCUUUGCCGAUCCUCGACAUGUGAUAAGAUGUUUCCAUGUCUUGGCUUUAUGGCUCUGUUGCCUUUGGGACCCGCUUCUAACCGUCUCAGCGAGACAACGUUCGAGCGUGUCUCCCCUCUCGGGGAAACACUCUUGAACCCACGAAACCUUGUCCUCACAUCGGGUGAGACUACCCGCUGA
rnacentral:misc_RNA from 1 species